UGCCUGUUGCCCCUGAGUCCACACCGGAAACCACUCAGGCAGGAUCUGGAACGCAUACAAACCUCAUCAAAUAAAAUGGAGGAACAAGUCCGCUCCGGCUUCUGAGAACUCCAGGAGCUCCCGGAAGAAGGCGUUUCAUCUCUGCACUGCUUGGAACCCUGGCUGUUCAAGGGAAACGAAAGUU
rnacentral:lncRNA from 1 species